GAGGGUAUAGUUCAGUGGUAGACCAUGUGCUUAGCAUGCACAAGGUCCUGGGUUCAAUCCCCAGUACCUACA
rnacentral:tRNA from 1 species